GACGAACCGUCCAAACGUUGUUCGGAAUCACUGGGCUUAAAGGGAGCGUAGGCGGGCUGCCAAGUCCGGGGUGAAAUCCUCCAGCUUAACUGGAGAACUGCCUCGGAUACUGGAAGUCUCGAGGAGGAUAGGGGCAUGCGGAACUAUGGGUGGAGCGGUGAAAUGCGUUGAUAUCCAUGGGAACUCCGGUGGCGAAGGCGGCAUGCUGGAUCUUUUCUGACGCUGAGGCUCGAAAGCCAGGGGAGCAAACGGG
rnacentral:rRNA from 1 species